rnacentral:lncRNA from 1 species
AGUGACUCAUGGCACCUUAUCACUGAGACCUUUGGAAACUUUUGGAGAAUUAAACCUCUCACAAGUCAAGGUGAAGAGACUGAGGACAAGAAACAUUGCCCAAGGUUAGCUGGGUGGCUGAACCAAGAUCUAAGGCAACCUCCAACCAUCUGCCAAUACCAUCCUGUUAUGGGUUCUCAGCUGGUGCCUAGGUUCCCCCUCUAGCCACCCACCAUCAUCUUGCUAAAACACCUCCCUUUCACCCCCCACUCCCCGAUGACUCCCUGGUAAAGAGGGAGGCAGGCAGGCCGUUGCUAAGCACUCACCAGCUCUCUCAUAAAAAUAAACUCCUUCUGGCUUAGA